rnacentral:rRNA from 1 species
GAUGAACGCUGGCGGCGUGCCUAAUACAUGCUAGUCGAGCGAACAGACGAGGAGCUUGCUCCUCUGACGUUAGCGGCGGACGGGUGAGUAACACGUGGAUAACCUACCUAUAAGACUGGGAUAACUUCGGGAAACCGGAGCUAAUACCGGAUAAUAUAUUGAACCGCAUGGUUCAAUAGUGAAAGACGGUUUUGCUGUCACUUAUAGAUGGAUCCGCGCCGCAUUAGCUAGUUGGUAAGGUAACGGCUUACCAAGGCAACGAUGCGUAGCCGACCUGAGAGGGUGAUCGGCCACACUGGAACUGAGACACGGUCCAGACUCCUACGGGAGGCAGCAGUAGGGAAUCUUCCGCAAUGGGCGAAAGCCUGACGGAGCAACGCCGCGUGAGUGAUGAAGGUCUUCGGAUCGUAAAACUCUGUUAUUAGGGAAGAACAAAUGUGUAAGUAACUAUGCACGUCUUGACGGUACCUAAUCAGAAAGCCACGGCUAACUACGUG